AGAGGCCGCACAGCUGACCCGGCUGCCCUACUUGCAUUCUGUCUCCUUCACAGAGGCCUCGAGAAGGAAGAGCUUGUGUGGUUCUGAGUUCCAUCUCCCUCAGGCUCUGGCCACGAGGACACUAUGCUUCUCUCCACACCUGGUAAAAGUAGGCGUGCGAGUCUCUGAGAGCCGUGAGGCACUCUGCCAAACUGAGCGAUUGCUGGAAGACCUUGGUUACCUCCAACAAGACUGCUUGAAGCCAUAAGACACUAAGACCUCCUCCCACCCCUCCUGGCUCCACCAUAAUGUUAGAAUCGGAAUUUCUGAGCAAGAGACCUCUGGAUAGUGGGGAAUAUUAAAAAUAAAGAAGACCCAAAACAGAAGCAUUCCAUCUCUUCCUGAUGCACAGGGAUUCCCUUUGGCCGUAUAUUCUUUUCACUUCCUUACUAAAAGAUGGGGGGCUGACAGAUGGAGCCAAGACUUAGAAGGAAUUUGCUGAACUCGGGAGAAGGAAAAUUGGUUUUCCAAAGGCGAGAAAACCCAGGACAGUGCCACAUUUCAUGGUGACAGCAGCAGCACGCUGAUACUUCGCCUUGAAUAAGAUGUGUUUGAUGAUAUACAUUGUUGCCCGAAGUUCACUGCCAGAGGAGGUGAAAAUCAGCGGGGCAUCUCUUGCAGGCUGCUGAAAACAUAACAAUGCACCUCUCCGUUGUGAAUGCGAAAACGAAAACGGUUUGUUCAUCAGGGGCCUUAAAAAUCCUCCGGGCUACCAUAUCUGGUUGUUGGACUCACAUUAAGGAGGCUAGAGCACGGUCCCCAUCUUGGACUUGAAUCAGGAACUGACCCACGGUUUGCUCGCGUUGCCCAGAGCCAGCUCAAAUAUGAAACAGAUCAGAACGCCACCAGGCUUUCCGUGUUGCGGUACUGGAUUCAAAGUCCAACAAAAAUAGAGAAAAGCAUCUUUUGAAGGCAGAGGAAACAAAUGCAGGCAUGGACGUGUCCGGAGCCUUUCCAAGCCAUGGACCAAGCUUAACAUCUCUUUGUGUGACGAAGCGGAAUCCACGGGAGGCUUGCUUUCAGUCUUGGUGGCUGAGAUCAUUGUGCUGGCAAAGGUUGUUUGAUUUACAAAGGUAAUAACCAAGAAGAAAUCAGAUUAAAAGCACCAAGCAGAAGGGAAAACAAAAAGAAGUCACUCAGCAUUGCCAACAAUAAGACCUGUCCUCAACUCGAUAGCCGUGAAGAAACUAUUGAGUAUCCAGCAGCAAGAGCAGAGCCAAGACUGGAGAACGGGUCUUUCUUGCUCCAAGACUUGCCCUGAUUCACUGCUGAGGCUGCUGUCUCCCUGCUGAAAAGCUACUCUGCAAACCACCUCUCCAGUUUCACAGAUGUGCUUGUUGAUGAAACCACACAGAUGAUCUAUUGUGUUCACGUGCCUUCAUUGUACUUUAUUUGACUGUUGGGUACAAAAGGAAACUUACAGUCUGGAUUCAGCAUAACCUAGUCUGCCUCUGUGAUAUGAUUUAUUUGCAAAGGGAUAAAAACAUAGACUCCCUUCCAGCUUUUAACUUUCUAGGAUGGCCAAGCCCUUUUGGGAAAAAAAAUGGUAUUUAAGGCAGUGGUAAAGAGAUUAUCUGGUUAUUUGGUGAAAUAGUUAACCAUAACAUUUUACAAAAAGAGGGACACUGAUCUGAAAAUAGCCUAAAGAAAGAAACAGCAAUAGAACAAUGGAAGUAUGUGUGAUCUUUUUAAAGACCUCUUGAUUUGUUUCUGAGGAGGAUGGGAAGGCUUUUGAGAUCCUGGGAGAGGAAAAGAGUAUCAGAGCUGAAAAGGAUGUUUGUGACCCUUAAAGUUGCUUGAAGGUUGGGAAAAAAUGAAUGAGCCCAUACCCACAUAAUAAAACUAAGGUGAUCAUACUUCUCCCACAGAGCCUGUUUGGAAACCGAGAAAUAAGUAAAUGACUCAAUAAUUUAAAAAUUUAGUAAAAGAAGAAGGGAUCCAACCUACAAAUUCCCGUGCUCUCUUUCCUUCCCUUGUGCUUUGUGUAUCUAUUAUAAUUAAUAAAUUAUAAUUUAUUAUAUUAAUUAAUAGCUAAUAAAAAGGUGUUUGCCACCUAUGCUUUUGCCUUUGUGGCAACCUUGAAGCAGGGCCCUGCAUUUCUGUGUG